rnacentral:misc_RNA from 1 species
AAAUGCGAUAAGUAGUGUGAAUUGCAGAAUUCAGUGAAUCAUCGAAUCUUUGAACGCACAUUGCGCCCUUUGGUAUUCCAAAGGGCAUGCCUGUUCGAGCGUCAUUUGUACCCUCAAGCUUUGCUUGGUGUUGGGCGUCUUGUCUCCAGUUCGCUGGAGACUCGCCUUAAAGUAAUUGGCAGCCGGCCUACUGGUUUCGGAGCGCAGCACAAGUCGCGCUCUCUUCCAGCCAAGGUCAGCAUCCACAAAGCCUUUUUUCAACUUUUGACCUCGGAUCAGGUAGGGAUACCCGCUGAACUUAAGC